rnacentral:rRNA from 1 species
UACGAAGGUUGCAAGCGUUACUCGGAAUUACUAGGCGUAAAGGGCAGGUAGGUGGUUUGGUAAGUCUGUCGUGAAAGCUCCUGGCUUAACUGGGAGAGGUCGAUAGAUACUGCCGGACUUGAGUAUAGGAGAGGUUACUGGAAUUCCCGGUGUAGCGGUGAAAUGCGCAGAGAUCGGGAGGAACACCAAUGGCGAAAGCAGGUAACUGGACUAUUACUGACGCUAAGCUGCGAAAGCUAGGGGAGCAAAC